CCGGCCCGCGGGGCGCUGGGGCCGAGGACUGCAGGGGGCUUAGGCCGGGCUCCGGGUCAUUCGUUCGUCCUUUCAUUCAUUCAUUGCCUGAGCUGACUCGGGGAUUGAGACGGGUAGUCUGUGGAUCCUAGAAUGAGUCUGGAGAUGGUGAAGAGAUUGCCAAGUGGAACUGCACUUAAGCCUCGAUUAGCAAGAAACAGCUUACCUUGUGGAAUCUCGGGCCUUUCUUCUGACCACUGUAGGGAUUAAGAGGACAAGCAAACCUCUCAUUCCCUGAGUUUCUCUGAAGUGGAAGAAGCGCUAUCCUUUUCGAGACACCCAGAGCUAAGAUGAUUGUCCACGCCAGGACUUAAUGAUCACCUGUUUCUCAAGAAGACAACUGCAGCAGCUCAAAGGAGCCCUGUGAUUCAGUGAGAUCUGGAUCCACUUGUUUCCAUUCUCUGCUUUGAGAACAAAUCCAGAUGUUGGGACAUGAACUUGACAGUGUUCACCUUGUUCUCCUGGAGACAGUGGGAAAAUGGAGGAUUCGAGACAUUCCGUGUACCUUGCCCAGGACCACAGAUCUGCAGCCAGAGGCCCACACUUCAGGACUCAUUUGGGUGAUUACAGCAAAGACGAAGUCGUCGUGGAUUUCAUCACAGGGGAGGCCUGCCACAUCUGGAACACUGUUUCCUGGGAUGACUUCUAGGAAACAGUUGGCCAAAGAAAUUUGUUGAUACAGAGGCCCAGGAAAAUGUUUCUUCUCAAUCAAGAGUCCUACUGAAUAUAUUCUAGUUGGAAAUAAUUAUUUCACACUGGUCAGAUUUUCAGAGGAAGAGUUUAGGGACUGGAGUAAAAUCACCCUCAAAAAUCC